rnacentral:rRNA from 1 species
AUUGAACGCUGGCGGCAGGCCUAACACAUGCAAGUCGAGCGGCAGAAGGGUGAUAGCUCGUUGAUACAGGGGCGGAGGGGCGGGUGAUGGCGAGGUAUAUGCGUGGCUGUGGGGGAGUAGGGCAGGAAGUGGGCGCACAUACGCUAUAAGUGCAGAGGGAGUACGGGGGGGAUCUUGGGACCUUAGGACAUUAGAUGAGUCUAGGUCGGGUUAGCUAGUUGGUGGGGUAAAGGCCUACCAAGGCGACGAUCCGUAACUGGUCUGAGAGGAUGAUCAGUCACACUGGAACUGAGACACGGUCCAGACUCCUACGGGAGGCAGCAGUGGGGAAUAUUGGACAAUGGGCGAAAGCCUGAUCCAGCCAUGCCGCGUGUGUGAAGAAGGUCUUCGGAUUGUAAAGCACUUUAAUUUGGGAAGAAGAGCAGUAGGUUAAUACCUUGCUGUUUUGACGGUACCAAUAGAAUAAGCACCGGCUAACUUCGUG